UUGGUCUCCUCUCGACUACGUCGUGCUGAUUCUGCGUAUUGCAGGACUUUUCCUGAUUCCUCUGACUGUUGUUGUUCUUCUGCUCAAACACAGAAGAGGCAACGAAACACCACCUGAUGAAAAAAAUAUGCACAACGAUGGCGAUGAAGUUGCAUAUGAAAAUGUGGAAGCACCUUCUGCUGCUACCGGACAGCACUGAUCAACAACCUUCACAUCAACUCAAAAACAAGUAAAAUGUCAUUUUACAUGAGUGAUCAAAGCUUUGAGAUAAAAUGAGGUUUUUGGAUAUUUUUAUAUUUACAAUGUGCGCUUGUAAUGAAAAAAACCCAAUCAUUUA